GGGUUGUGAGGUUAAGCGACUAAGCGUACACGGUGGAUGCCUAGGCAGUCAGAGGCGAUGAAGGACGUGCUAAUCUGCGAAAAGCGCCGGUGAGCUGAUAUGAAGCAUUAUUAGCCGGCGAUGUCCGAAUGGGGAAACCCAGUGCAAUCCGUUGCACUAUCAUUAACUGAAUUCAUAGGUUAAUGAGGCGAACCGGGGGAACUGAAACAUCUCAGUACCCCGAGGAAAAGAAAUCAACCGAGAUUCCCCCAGUAGCGGCGAGCGAACGGGGAGGAGCCCAGAACCAGCAUCAGUGUCAGCGUCAGGAGAACGGUCUGGAAAGGCCGGCAGUAAAGGGUGAUAGCCCCGUAUCUGAAGACGCUGGCAGUGUGAGUUCGACGAGUAGGGCGGGACACGUGGUAUCCUGUCUGAACAUGGGGGGACCAUCCUCCAAGGCUAAAUACUCCUGACUGACCGAUAGUGAACCAGUACCGUGAGGGAAAGGCGAAAAGAACCCCGGCGAGGGGAGUGAAAGAGAACCUGAAACCGUGUACGUACAAGCAGUGGGAGCCCUGAUUUAUCAGGGUGACUGCGUACCUUUUGUAUAAUGGGUCAGCGACUUAUAUUCUGUAGCAAGGUUAACCGUAUAGGGGAGCCGCAGGGAAACCGAGUCUUAACUGGGCGUUAAGUUGCAGGGUAUAGACCCGAAACCCGGUGAUCUAGCCAUGGGCAGGUUGAAGGUUGGGUAACACUAACUGGAGGACCGAACCGACUAAUGUUGAAAAAUUAGCGGAUGACUUGUGGCUGGGGGUGAAAGGCCAAUCAAACCGGGAGAUAGCUGGUUCUCCCCGAAAGCUAUUUAGGUAGCGCCUCGUGUAUUCAUCUUCGGGGGUAGAGCACUGUUUCGGCUAGGGGGUCAUCCCGACUUACCAACCCGAUGCAAACUGCGAAUACCGAAGAAUGUUAUCACGGGAGACACACGGCGGGUGCUAACGUCCGUCGUGAAGAGGGAAACAACCCAGACCGCCAGCUAAGGUCCCCAAGUCAUGGUUAAGUGGGAAACGAAGUGGGAAGGCUCAGACAGCCAGGAUGUUGGCUUAGAAGCAGCCAUCAUUUAAAGAAAGCGUAAUAGCUCACUGGUCGAGUCGGCCUGCGCGGAAGAUGUAACGGGGCUAAACCAUGCACCGAAGCUGCGGCAGCGACAUUUCGAUGUUGUUGGGUAGGGGAGCGUUCUGUAAGCCUGCGAAGGUGUGCUGUGAGGCAUGCUGGAGGUAUCAGAAGUGCGAAUGCUGACAUAAGUAACGAUAAAGCGGGUGAAAAACCCGCUCGCCGGAAGACCAAGGGUUCCUGUCCAACGUUAAUCGGGGCAGGGUGAGUCGACCCCUAAGGCGAGGCCGAAAGGCGUAGUCGAUGGGCAACAGGUUAAUAUUCCUGUACUCGGUGUUACUGCGAAGGGGGGACGGAGAAGGCUAGGCUAGCCGGGCGACGGUCGUCCCGGUUCAAGCGUGUAGGUGGGUGCUCCUGGCAAAUCCGGAGUGCCGUAACACUGAGGCGUGAUGACGAGGCACUACGGUGCUGAAGUGGUUGAUGCCCUGCUUCCAGGAAAAGCCUCUAAGCCUCAGGUAACAUUGAAUCGUACCCCAAACCGACACAGGUGGUCAGGUAGAGAAUACUCAGGCGCUUGAGAGAACUCGGGUGAAGGAACUAGGCAAAAUGGUGCCGUAACUUCGGGAGAAGGCACGCUGGCAGUAGGUGAAGGGCCCUGCGCCCGGAGCUGAAGCCAGUCGCAGAUACCAGCUGGCUGCAACUGUUUAAUAAAAACACAGCACUGUGCAAACACGAAAGUGGACGUAUACGGUGUGACGCCUGCCCGGUGCUGGAAGGUUAAUUGAUGGGGUCAGCCGCAAGGCGAAGCUCUUGAUCGAAGCCCCAGUAAACGGCGGCCGUAACUAUAACGGUCCUAAGGUAGCGAAAUUCCUUGUCGGGUAAGUUCCGACCUGCACGAAUGGCGUAAUGAUGGCCAGGCUGUCUCCACCCGAGACUCAGUGAAAUUGAACUCGCUGUGAAGAUGCAGUGUACCCGCGGCAAGACGGAAAGACCCCGUGAACCUUUACUAUAGCUUGACACUGAACCUUGAGCCUUGAUGUGUAGGAUAGGUGGGAGGCUGUGAAGUGCGGACGCCAGUCUGCACGGAGCCGACCUUGAAAUACCACCCUUUAAUGUUUGAUGUUCUAACGUAGACCCGUAAUCCGGGUUGCGGACAGUGUCUGGUGGGUAGUUUGACUGGGGCGGUCUCCUCCCAAAGCGUAACGGAGGAGCACGAAGGUUAGCUAAUCACGGUCGGACAUCGUGAGGUUAGUGCAAAGGCAUAAGCUAGCUUGACUGCGAGAGUGACAGCUCGAGCAGGUACGAAAGUAGGUCUUAGUGAUCCGGUGGUUCUGAAUGGAAGGGCCAUCGCUCAACGGAUAAAAGGUACUCCGGGGAUAACAGGCUGAUACCGCCCAAGAGUUCAUAUCGACGGCGGUGUUUGGCACCUCGAUGUCGGCUCAUCACAUCCUGGGGCUGAAGUAGGUCCCAAGGGUACGGCUGUUCGCCGUUUAAAGUGGUACGCGAGCUGGGUUUAGAACGUCGUGAGACAGUUCGGUCCCUAUCUGCCGUGGGCGUUGGAAGAUUGAAAGGGGCUGCUCCUAGUACGAGAGGACCGGAGUGGACGCACCGCUGGUGUUCGGGUUGUCAUGCCAAUGGCACUGCCCGGUAGCUAAGUGCGGAAGAGAUAACCGCUGAAAGCAUCUAAGCGGGAAACUUGCCUUGAGAUGAGUCUUCCCUUGUCCCUUGAGGACACUGAAGGAACGUUCGAGACGAGGACGUAGAUAGGCCGGGUGUGUAAGCGUAGCGAUACGUUGAGCUAACCGGUACUAAUGACCCGUGAGGCUUAACCUGACAACACCGAAGGUGUUU
rnacentral:rRNA from 1 species